UAAAUAAUGAUAAACUAUAAGAUGGUGAAAGAUUUGAUUACAAAAUAAAUGUACACACCUCUUCCCAAGGGUAUCGGAACAAAGGGAAGAGGGCAGGGGGCGCGGGAAACUUAUGGGGUUCUCUGGAAUGUGGGCGGGAGUACAGAAGGAGGUGGAGCCAAAACAAAGAACAAAAUCAAAUAGAGCAUAAGGCGGCAUGGAAAGCUAAACUUCAGGUAAUAGAAAGAAAAACAAAGGCAAUUGUGCAAUUAUAAUUUAAAAGAUAUAACAACCCUGUUACAUGCAUACAAAUAAUUAAACUAGCUGAAAACAGGGUGAUGGUUUAAGGUACAGUCCAGAUGAAAGCUCAAUCAGUUUAACACAAAGCGUUUCCCUUUCUUUGUGGUUUGAUAUAGAGAAGAUUCAUCCACUGCAACACACGCAAGAGGCAAGAAAUACAUGGUGUACGAGAGCUGCAUCAUGGAGUUGUUUAAUGCAUGUCCAGUCUGCAAGAGGGCAUGUGAAGUGACAACCCAAAGGCUGGGGACAUUCCUGUCUGUGAAGCAGCAGUGCCCCCAUUGCACAUUCGGAAGACGCUGGAAUAGCCAGCCUAUCCUUGGGAGCACGCCAGCUGGAAAUCUGCACCUUUCUGCCGCUGUGUACCUGAUUGGUGCAUCUUUCCUAAAAAUCGAAAAGGUCUUCAAGGCAAUGAAGCUACAGUUGUUUCGGUAUGAAACAUUUCGCCGCCAUGCCAAAAGUUUCAUUGAACCAGUUAUUCACCAGUGGAAAGUCCUAAAUGAUUUGAAUCUGCAGCGGCCAAGUCAGGAGGAAAUAGUGAUACUUGGAUGGUGACAUGAGAGCUGAAUCUCCAGGUAUUGAUACCUAACUGAAAUAGUGCAUUUUAUACAGGUGUUCAAUAUUGUUUGAAGUUAAAAGAAAUGACCUGAAUAAAGUCAGACAUAAUACCAAAGUAUUGGAGGGUGAUUACUACACUAAUUUCCCUAUUUGAACAAAAAUAGGUCACUCUGCAAAGUAUGGGAGUUACACAAUGAUGGAUCUCCAUACUAACACCAUUGUGGACAUUCAGUUGGUCCAGGUGAGUUGUCAAAAUGGAUAUUGUAAAGGGGUUAUUGGUUGUAAUUUCAAAGUCUAACAUGCAUAUUCUAUUAAUAUAUAUUUUUUAUGUGUUAACAGAGCAACGAAGUUGGUGGUAGUACCCAUAUGGAGAAGGAGAGACUGAAGAGGAGUCUAGCCUUACUGGAGUCGCGUGGCGUCCACCUUUACUGCAUUGUCACUGAUCGUCAUCCUCAAGUACAGAAGUUCCUCAGGGAGAGAAACAUAACCCAUUACUACGAUGUCUGGCACUUUGCAAAAGGUAUUUCAAAUAAGCUGUUGGCAAUCAGUAUGCAGAAAGACGGUGAGAAACUCAAGAAGUGGAUGAAGAGCAUCAACAACCACAUAUACUGGACUGCAGGCAGGCUCAACCUCCGGGCCAGAGAGAAUCGCAAAGUGGACCUCGAUCCUGAACCAUGUUCGAGAUGUCCAUGUACAUGAAGAUCCUCUUUACCCCAAGUGCGAGCAUGCGAUCCGCCAGACAAGUGACCGGAGUAAAUGGCUUCAAGCAGCAACUCCAACUUUCUCCAAGUUGGAGAAGUUGCUGACCAAUAAAAGGGCGCUGAAGGAUGUUGCAAAACUGAGCCCCCACCACCAAACUUCAUCUUUGGAGGCUUUCCAUGCGGUUAUUCUUCGUUUUGCCCCCAAAAAUGUUGUUUUUCCCUUUAUUGGAAU